CAUCAUCUUCUACCCAAAGACACUAUUCAUCAUGUUCUACCCAAAAACACUAUUCAUCAUCUUCUACCCAAACUACUAUUCAUCAUCUUCUUCAUUCUUGGAGAAUCAUAAAUCUAGUAACCUAAAGCUCUGAUACCACAUAUCUUCAACUCCUUACCCAAUCUAUCUCUUUGAUGCAACCUUAAUUCUCUCAAGACUUUAUGGUGUUUCUAAUGGAAGAUAGAGCUUCUUCAUGAAAACAUUUUGUGCAUCAGGGACAUAAUCCUUCAUCCAUUCUUAUACAACUUCCAUCAAGUUGUAAUGAUUGCCUUAAGUCCCUUAAUUAUUUUAAAUCACAUUUUGACCCUCAUUUAUCUUCAGAGUCACUUAAUAGUUGGAUAAUUCUAACAAGAUCUUGUUUAGGAUAGCUUGUAGUUCAAAUUGUAUUAAAGCUGACCAUUUAUAGUGUUAAGAUAUGUUUAAUGUUAUAUGAUCCUUCAUUCCUAAUUUGCCUUCAUUUUUACUCAUUCAAAAACCUGGAUUGUAUGUAGUGUGUGAAUUCUGUGUCAUACCUUAUCUUUAGCUUAAAAGUUAGUGUUCGCAUUAAGCAAUAUAGUUAAUGAACGUGAGUUUGCCCAUUA